CUGAAGUACACAGCACAGCCAUUGGUUAGUGUGAUGGAAAUUCUACCCUUAAUCAAUAAUGAGGAGAGGCAAAAUUAAUAAUCAAUCAAGGCAUUACUUUUAUUAAAAAACUUGUUAUUACAAGGAGGCUUGUCUCUCCACACAUGCAAGUGUAAUGAAGUGAGAGCCCCCUGAGUGGAGUUAACUUCUGGGUUAUAUACUAUCCCAGGAUCGGUGCAAUAUGACGUACAAUGGUUCCAAACACUAACCCCACACAUCCCGUGCCAGACCUUGGGCCCCAAAUACAAAUAACUUGUUUUGAUCAGUACUAAGAACAUUUGUUGUUACUUAGUUUCCACCUUGAACUAGGGGAGAGAACAAUCUCCCCUCGGAGGAGGUGACUGACACACAGACACUGUGGAGACAAGUGAUUGGUUCCCCAUUACUCACGCCAUCCCUUCACGUGGUUUGCAUUAAAGACACAGUUCACAUGGAAACAAUGUUUCCUUCUGACCUCCUUUGCCAUACUCCUUGCAGAUAUUCUGCAUAGCAACAGGGACAUGUGAUAGAUAAGACUGACUUCUCCCCUCUCUGGACCCAAGGUUACUGAGGCCCAUUUGAGGGAGGAAGUGCAGCUGCCAACACCAGAGUCUGAAAGGAGACAUUUUAAUAACAAGAGUUUCAACAGUUCAAUCAUAUAAGCAUAUUCCGCAGAUAAAACAUCUUAAUUAUCUUUGUUACUUAGCUUAUAUGAGUUAGAUAAAGAAACUCUCAAGCACAAUGCCUAGGCUUAAAUAAGGAUAUUUUAGUACACAAGCAUUAGGAGGGUUUAACAGAACUUCCCUCACAUUAGGCAGCACAAAAGGGCUAUAAAUGCCACAAAAAUCCACCUUCACAACGAGUGUAUCCAGAUCACCUGAUUGACUUAAAACACUAGCAACUAGUUGCAAUGCAUCCGCCGCCAUAUCGUCAACACUGUUGCCUCUUGCCCCUUUGACUCUCUUCAGCGCCUCGACCUCAUUACAUCCUUGACGCCUCGACCUCAUUCCCCUUAACUGGCCACUCAAGGAAGUCCGGAGUAUGAUCCCCACCACAGUUGCAACAUUUUCCAUUCACAGAUUCUUCAAUAUCAUAAUUAUCUUGUCUGCAAACAUUUGACACGACCAUAUCCUUUACAAUUUCCACACUGUAAUGGUUUGGACAAAAAUGCUCUAACCGCAUAACUUACAUAUCCAAGCUUCACAUAUUCAGGUAGAGUCUCAUCAAACAACAAUGAUAUCCACAAGCUUUUCUCCUUCAUUCCAUUUACCAUACGGGUCAGGCAACAUGCACUGACCACUCCUGGGAUUUUCUGACAUAGGUACUCAUCAUUUAUAUCCAAUGAGACUCCAGCUAUAACUCCUUUGGCAGGUGCCCUGCUCCAAAGAUCAAUACGUGUUACUUCUGACGUGGACAAUUCUGCUAGAUUCUUCAUCAACACAAUUAACCAAAACAAGGCUGCUUCUAGUCCCUUGAUUGAAUUCACCUUUCCCACUGCUUUCUUCACAGUCCUCGAUAUUACAAAUGGAUUUCCCAAAAGAAUCUCCUCCAAAAAAAACGCAGCCCAAUAAGGCUUUAUCGGGCUGGUCCUUGUCUUCUACUACAACUUUUGCUCAUUUUGUUGCAUUCUUUGAUUUCACUAUUUUCCAUUCAUUAUCACACACUUCACUAGCCGCCCCUUCGGAUUCAAGCACAGGCGCCAUUUCCUCCUUCUCCCAACCUGACAUUCACUGUCAACUGUGGGACCUUAUAUAGACAGAUGUGUGCCUUUCCAAAUCAUGUCCAAUCAAUUGAAUUUACCACAGGUGGACUCCAAUCAAGUUGUAGAAACAUCUCAAGCAUGAUCAAUGGAAACAGGAUGUAACUGAGGUCAAUUUCGAGUCUCAUAGCAAAGGGUCUGAAUACUAAGGUAUUUCAACAACAACAAAAAAAGUAAUACAUUUGCUAAAAUUAAAAAAAAAACUGUUUUUGCUUUGUCAUUAUGGGGCAUUGUGUGUAGAUUGAUGAGGGGGAAAAAACGAUUUAAUCCAUUUUAGAAUAAGGCUGUAACGUAACAAAAUGUGGAAAAAGUCAAGGGGUCUGAAUA
rnacentral:lncRNA from 1 species